UACGUAGGGUGCAAGCGUUACUCGGAAUUACUGGGCGUAAAGCGUGCGCAGGCGGCCAUGCAAGACAGAUGUGAAAUCCCCGGGCUCAACCUGGGAACUGCAUUUGUGACUGCAUGGCUAGAGUACGGCAGAGGGGGAUGGAAUUCCGCGUGUAGCAGUGAAAUGCGUAGAUAUGCGGAGGAACACCGAUGGCGAAGGCAAUCCCCUGGGCCUGUACUGACGCUCAUGCACGAAAGCGUGGGGAGCAAACAGG
rnacentral:rRNA from 1 species